rnacentral:rRNA from 1 species
UACGUAGGGUGCAAGCGUGUCCGGAAUUAUUGGGCGUAAAGAGCUUGUAGGCGGUUUGUCGCGUCUGCUGUGAAAUUUCGGGGCUCAACCCCGAACUGCAGUGGGUACGGGCAGACUAGGGUGUGGUAGGGGAGACUGGAAUUCCUGGUGUAGCGGUGAAAUGCGCAGAUAUCAGGAGGAACACCGAUGGCGAAGGCAGGUCUCUGGGCCAUAACUGACGCUGAGAAGCGAAAGCAUGGGGAGCGAACAGG